rnacentral:rRNA from 1 species
GAUGAACGCUGGCGGCGUGCCUAAUACAUGCAAGUCGAGCGAACAGAUAAGGAGCUUGCUCCUUUGACGUUAGCGGCGGACGGGUGAGUAACACGUGGGUAACCUACCUAUAAGACUGGAAUAACUCCGGGAAACCGGGGCUAAUGCCGGAUAACAUUUAGAACCGCAUGGUUCUAAAGUGAAAGAUGGUUUUGCUAUCACUUAUAGAUGGACCCGCGCCGUAUUAGCUAGUUGGUAAGGUAACGGCUUACCAAGGCAACGAUACGUAGCCGACCUGAGAGGGUGAUCGGCCACACUGGAACUGAGACACGGCCCAGACUCCUACGGGAGGCAGCAGUAGGGAAUCUUCCGCAAUGGGCGAAAGCCUGACGGAGCAACGCCGCGUGAGUGAUGAAGGUCUUCGGAUCGUAAAACUCUGUUAUUAGGGAAGAACAAAUGUGUAAGUAACUGUGCACGUCUUGACGGUACCUAAUCAGAAAGCCGCGGCUAACUACGUG